CAAAGCAAAUCAGCUCAACUAAUCUUGUCUCAACAUCCUGGAUCUGGCAAUCAGCCAACCAACAUUAAAUCGAUACAACCGCAGCAGUACCAACUACUCCAAAUCCAGCAACAGCCCCUCAAAAAAGGACCACAUAGCAAUUACUGCUCAAACGAACAACAGGAGUUUACGAAUGAUGGACACAUCGGAAAACAUUUCAUCGGCACAUUCUGCCUUAAAACAUGUCUGCCACUAUUUUUGAAAAUUUCACUGCCUACACAGUGCUCGUGAUUCCAUUCCAGCAGCAGCAAGCAAUCACUAUUCGAGUGCUUAUCGCCAACAUUUCACAGCAAGCUCAGCAGCAGAACCACCUUCAACCACAACAUCAGAAAAUUAAGAUUUCUUCCAGACCAUGACCAUCAUCCUAAAGGUCGGUAGCAAUAACGUUCAACCGACAGUACAACCUGGUCAGCAACCGCAAUUAGUGCAAUAGAUCCAACCCAAAUGUAGAUUUACCAACUGCAAAAAAGAUAGCAACAGCACAUUCAAACACAGUAGCAGCAGCAUACUAUACUGUACCAUGCGGUGUGCAGGACUUUUUUAUUCAGUUGGUGCGGCAAGAUCGAACACCAACAACAUAAUAUCAUGGUAAUCACCCAGCAAGAGAACGCAGUGAUAAUGGGCCAACAGAAAACACAACAUCAAGAUGCUCGGAAAGGACUUUCUCUUUCGAACAAACAUAAUGGCACGUCAUCUUCAAUCGGCUAACCGUUUGGAAUAAGCGCUCAUCGUCGGUUUCAUGGCAGGGAAGUGAGCAGGCAAAAGAAGGCAUCGUUUUUUCCGCAAGGUCGCUCUGGUCAAAAUUUCAGCGAAUUGCAAGGAAUAAACCACCCGAGGGACAGUACCCGUGCUGAUUCAGGACGAUUUCCCAUACUUUGUACCUUGCUAUUGAAUUUUAAUACCCGAUCGAAACGAUGGCAAGCGCUGCCGAUAACUGGGUCAAAAAGACGACGGAUCAAGAAAUUUCUGCACUCGGUUAGCGAACUGAGUACAUAUCAUCAAGGAUAAGGAUUCAGGCGGCUGGCAGUCCAGAGAAAGAGAAUGCGGAAAAACCUAGUCCACCGGCAGUAGAACCAAAGCUGCACCUGAUGUUUGGAGUUCGGUAGCUACAGAAAUUCUGACUCUAGCAGCUCCUGAAGAAAAACAAGCUGCAAGAGAAAAUGGAGAAACACCUUCCUCCGCGGAAGAUGCAGAGGCAUUCAACCCGGCGGAUGCAAGUUUGCUAAUGAAAGAUGUUCACUAAGGUCUAGUAGAAUCAAAGCUGGAUCUGAAGGUGCAGCGAAAGGAUUCUUCUUCGCCGGUUGGUUGGUUAAAACUUUCGAAGUUUUGCACGUGAAGCCGGGAUUACUUCAGGGAGUCUAUGCGAUGGGUUUCAACGCCCUUCUAAGAUUCAGGAGAUGGCUCUGUU